GGGGCAGCUCGCUCCCCCCAAACAUAAGACAGGCGCCGAUUCUGGUGCAGGGGGGGGGGCAAGGGGGCAGCUCGCUCCCCCCAAACAUAAGACAGGCGCCGAUUCUGGUGCAGAAGAGCAGCUAGGUGAAGUACUGCUGCCGCACUCAGUCAGUGUGUACCCGACCACAACAUGCACCCACGGGAACACUGCUUCCUCUGCUAGACUGUCGUCGGUGCAGGUAUGCGGCUGCCAUGGCCCCGGACUGCCUUCAGGGGCCGCCGCUCCACCUGCACCCGGUCACACUACGCUGCAUCUCCCCCUCCCCUGCGCCGGAGAUCUGAGCAGCCCGACUUCUCAAGCGGCCCCGGCACCCUCUCUCUCCUCCAGCAACGCCGCUCCGCGCUCCGUGGUGGGUGAAGCAGAGGUCGGUCUCUGCAUCUCAUUACCGGGGCACAUGUUCCUGGAGUGCCCUCCUCGAGUUACCUCCAGCCUCACAAUACCGUCCAAGCAGCCGCGGCGUCAUGGUGCUGCGUGGGAGCUGGCAUACUGAUCCUUCGCUGACCUCCUCUUUGGCCUGUGCCUAGGUCAGCGGUCCUCCCUCACCGACACUCCAAGCUUGAGUUACACAACACAGUGGAGGAAUAAUAAGGAGGAAGAAUGCUGCGUGAGAGAUGAAAAGUGAAGGUCACUGAAGGGAUGUGCAUUGCUAAAGUUCAUAUGAGGUGAUACGAAUGCAUCUGGCAACAGCAAUUAGUAUGACCUGGAGAGGAGGAUAGGCACAUAAAUGACAACCCAACAUUACAGACAAAAUAAAAAUGGAGCUAACUGGAUGUACAGAACUAUCAUUGGCAAAUACAUUGGUGACUGAUUACCUGUCUCAUAAUAUGCCUUUAGUCUACAAACUCAUAUAUUGUUCAUUGGUUUCUCUGAAGGUACCCAAAUUCCUAUUGCUUUUGGGAGAGAAGCCACAGCAUUUGUCCUACUAUCACUCUGGAACAUGCUGCAGAAUUCAUUGAAAUUGAGUACUACUGUUAAUAUUACCCUCUAUCAAACAGGGAUGUCCCCAGGUUUGUGUGUAAAGAAUGAAAGAGAUAGAGGACAUUGUGUUGCCAUAUCCCAUAACCUACAUUAUGGGAAAAAGAUUCAGUAGUGCAAUGUAGUACCGAUGCACUCAGUGACAUCAUUGCACAUGGACAAAAUGACAUCACUAUUGUGCCGCCUUAUCCCCAGCAUUACUGAUUACUGGUGGUGCAAAGUAUUUUUUUUUUUCUUUGCAUCACUUCACUGUCUUACUGGACCCCUAAUGUAGGUUUUACUUGUACUAUUGUACACUUGCAUUGAAUGCCUAUCUGUAAUUAAAUGUUUACAUUUAUUGUUAUAGACUUAAGGCAGAAUUUGAUCAAUAGUGUCUGC